AGCUGGGCAUGGUGGUGCGUGCCUGUUGUCCCAGCUACCUGGGAGGCUGAGGCAGUGGAAUUGCUUGAACCUGGGAGGCGGAGUUUGCUGUAAGCCGAGAUAGCGCUGCUGUUUUCCAGCCUGGGCUACAAAAUGAGACUCCAUCUAAAAAAAAAAAAAAGAGAGAGA